rnacentral:rRNA from 1 species
UACGGAGGGGCUAGCGUUGUUCGGAAUUACUGGGCGUAAAGCGCACGUAGGCGGCUUUGUAAGUUAGAGGUGAAAGCCCGGGGCUCAACCCCGGAACAGCCUUUAAGACUGCAUCGCUUGAACGUCGGAGAGGUGAGUGGAAGUUCCGAGUGAUAGAGGUGAAAUUCGUAAGAUAUUCGGAAGAACACCAGUGGCGAAGGCGACUUACUGGACACAUAUUGACGCUGAGGUGACGAAAGCGUGGGGAGCAAACAGG